UACGUAGGGUGCGAGCGUUGUCCGGAAUUAUUGGGCGUAAAGAGCUUGUAGGCGGUUUGUCGUGUCUGCUGUGAAAUCUCAAGGCUCAACCUUGAGCUUGCAGUGGGUACGGGCAGACUAGAGUGUGGUAGGGGAGACUGGAAUUCCUGGUGUAGCGGUGAAAUGCGCAGAUAUCAGGGGGAACACCGAUGGCGAAGGCAGGUCUCUGGGCCACUACUGACGCUGAGAAGCGAAAGCAUGGGGAGCGAACAGG
rnacentral:rRNA from 1 species